rnacentral:rRNA from 1 species
GACAGAGGGUGCAAACGUUGUUCGGAAUUACUGGGCGUAAAGCGCGUGUAGGCUGCUCGAACAGUCGGGUGCGAAAGCCCUGGGCUCAACCCAGGAAGUGCAUUCGAUACUGCCGAGCUUGAGUCCUGGAGAGGAAGGCGGAAUUCUCGGUGUAGAGGUGAAAUUCGUAGAUAUCGAGAGGAACACCGGUGGCGAAGGCGGUUCUCUGGGCAUUACCUGACGCUGAGAAGCGAAAGCAUGGGGAGCGAACAGG